rnacentral:rRNA from 1 species
UUGACCUCGGAUCAGGUAGGGAUACCCGCUGACUU